rnacentral:rRNA from 1 species
AGGGCACCACCAGGAGUGGAGCCUGCGGCUUAAUUUGACUCAACACGGGGAAACUCACCCGGCCCGGACACCGGAAGGAUUGACAGAUUGAUAGCUCUUUCUUGAUUCGGUGGAUGGUGGUGCAUGGCCGUUCUUAGUUGGUGGAGCGAUCUGUCUGGUUAAUUCCGAUAACGAACGAGACUCUAGCCUAUUAAAUAGACGUCGGGUUCUCUGCACUCGACGGUCUUCUUAGAGGGACAAGGUGCUUUUAGCACCGCGAAACAGAGCAAUAACAGGUCUGUGAUGCCCUUAGAUGUCCGGGGCCGCACGCGCGCUACACUGAAGGAAGCAGCGUGUAACAACCUUGUUCUAACGAACUGGGUAACCCGUGGAACUUCCUUCAUGAUUGGGAUAGGGGUUUGCAAUUUUGCCCCUUGAACGAGGAAUUCCCAGUAAGCACUAGUCAUCAACUAGUGCUGAUUACGUCCCUGCCCUUUGUACACACCGCCCGUCACUACGACCGAUUGAAUGGCUCAUUGA